GCCAGGUGUGGUGUUGCACGCCUGUACUCCCAGCUACUCGGGAGGCUGAGGCAGGAGGAUUGCUUGAGUCCAGGAGUUCUGGGCUGUAGUGCGCUAUGCCGAUUGGGUGUCCACACUAAGUUUGGCAUAAAUAUGGUGACCUCCUGGGAACAGGGGACCACCAGGUUGCCUAAGGAGGGGUGAAUUGGCCAAGGUUGGAAACCAAGAAGGUCAAAACUCCCAUGCUGAUCAGUAGUGGGACUGAGCCUGUGAAUAGCUGCUGCACUUUAGCCUGGGCAACAUAGCAAGACCCCAUCU
rnacentral:SRP_RNA from 10 species